rnacentral:lncRNA from 1 species
AGACGGUGUUACGGCGCCACCCAGCGGUCAACCAUGUGCUAUCCAGCAGCCGGCUGCAGUCUGUUAACUAACAGCAGAGCUGCUGGAGACCCCACCACCACUGCAGACCCCCCACCACCUCCCUCCCUUCUACAGAUCUCACCAAACCACCACCACUGCAGACCCCCCCUCUACAGAUUUGACCAAACCAACAAUUAUUCUUUCUGUUUCAGAAAAUGGUUAAAGGGUUACACUUUAGAUUUCUGUUAUAGAUACUCUAUUUUAGCAAUCUAUAGGCAAUCUAACUGUUCAGCUUGAUUUAGGUGUUGUCAGUGUGUCUUUGCUAUCGUAACAGCUGGAAAAGUACACCUUGCGCAGCUCAAAACUCAAAAAAGGCAUGCACUAAUUCUCUUAAUUAAUCAUGAGAGCUAGAGGAAAAAGGUAUGUGAACUCUUGUGUUAUGGACUUCAAGCAAACCUGGAGUCCUGCUAGUAUGGAGGUUCAGACUAGAGCUACUUUUACUCAAAAAAAAAAACCACUCAAAUCUUUUGAGUUUGCCCUGCUCCAGAAGCAUAUGUGUAUGUGAGACUUGCCAUGCCAAAAAGAGCUUUCAGAGGAUCUAUGAUCAAAGGUUUUUGAUUUACAUAAAGCAGGAAAGUGUUAUAAAGUGAUUUUAGAGAUUUAUAAAAUCAUCAUUCUACCAUAAGGCAAAAAAUCUACAAAUAGAGACAAUUUGUUACCAGUAAAAAUUACCCCAAGAGCACAAGGGAGACUCAUCAAUGAGGUAAAGAAACGUGGUAGACAUAAGACAGAAUAUAAUGUGACUGUAGGAGGUUAAAAAUACUCAUAUCCCAACAUCUGUGGAAGUUUUAAAACUGAACUUUGUCAGGAUACAAAUGUGAUUUUAACACUGUAGAUUUUACUGUGUAACAGGUUCUUUUUCUGUCUGAAAACCCAGCCAACUACCCGUCCACAGAGCAGGAGCAUCUGCUCCAGCGGAGGACGAGGAGCCGAGUUUAGAGUCUGUAUCAAAAUUCAAUUAUACACGGCAAAGGCUGACACUAAUGGGCUCCGAGUUCAGUAGUGAAACACACUCCUUAUCACUCAAUUACGCUCCGGCAUUCGAUUACACCGCGGCCUCGGA